UACGGAGGGGGCUAGCGUUGUUCGGAAUUACUGGGCGUAAAGCGCACGUAGGCGGCUUUGUAAGUUAGAGGUGAAAGCCCAGGGCUUAACCCUGGAAUUGCCUUUAAGACUGCAUCGCUAGAAUCGUGGAGAGGUGAGUGGAAUUCCGAGUGUAGAGGUGAAAUUCGUAGAUAUUCGGAAGAACACCAAAGGCGAAGGCAGUGUCCUGGGGAGUACCUGACGCUCAGGUGCGAAAGCCAGGGGAGCGAACGGG
rnacentral:rRNA from 1 species